UUUACUUUGUCCGCAAGCACACAGAGAUUAUGUUAAGUUGUGUAAGGGGAGGAGAAGGGAACUUGUCUUCUAACUAUUUUUCAGGAGGGCAGAGUAUUAGUUCAGCAGCAAAACUCUUUAAAUGCUUGACCCUGUUUCUGGUGCAGAAUAUGGUGCUAUUUGGGUGUGUUUGUGUUUUGCUAAGCCACCAGGGCUCCAUCUUAUCUGAAGUUAUCCUAGACCAGCCUCUGCCAUCUUGGAGGGGCCUCACAAUGGUAAACGGACCCUGCAGACUACAGGCCGAGGUCCUCAUUUUCGCGGCCAACCUCUUCCAUUCCAUUUCCAAACACAACCUUUCUCCUAAACCGCUGGGUAGGAGAACUCGUACAGAUCUAGCGUGCUUUGAAAUCUUAAAGAGUGGUGCCUGUGGCAUGAGCUUGGAUAGCACCCAUUUAUUUUGCGGGGAGCGCACACCCUCAGAAAAUCUGAAACACACGCACACCCUGUGAUUUUCUGGUUCUCUUCCCCCCCCCCAACCUAAGCCCCUUCUUUGCAACUUGGAUAGAGUGUUUGAUAAAGAAACUUUGGGAUUGCUUUGAGAUGGUGUGUGUACUCUUUGUGAAAGUGUGCGGGUCAUUGCAACAGCGAUGGUAGAAUUGGUUUGCGUCCAGUGGAGUCGCUUGGGUUUUUAAAAGUUGUAGAAUUGCUUCAAAAUCAGGGCAGGGGUGGGGGGCUUCUGGGGUUGGGUGUUAAUGGUGCUCCCCCUGCCCCCGAAACAGACCCACAGGGGGAAAAGUAGCCUUUCGCAGGGUAAAAACUACUUUCCGAUCAGUCUAACACACUGUAGUAGAUGCAGUCCAUUAAGCAGGAGGCCACAAUCUCCUGUGAAGUUUGAAAUCAGCUUUGCCGGGUAUCUUAAUAUCCAACAAGAACUUCCGUAGAAACUGGCUUGCUUGUCUGUGUUUAACUAGGAUAGGAAUUUGUGGUACUCUGAAAGAAAGGUGGGUGCUGGGGGGUUGAUAGCAAGCAUCCCAUUUGCAAAAUAUCUUUGUCUCGGUUGCCUGCAGGCAACUUCCUGGAUGCAGGAGGCUGUUUUUGCAAAUCUGGUUCAAAACAGGUCUUCCUCCCUGCAGCCCUUCAUAAUUCUGGAUUUCCUCACCCACAUGCACAUUGGAACCU